rnacentral:lncRNA from 1 species
CCCCUUCAGUGAGUGCAACGAUACACGCUGUAGAAGAGCCUUUUGCUUUUGUUCUCACGUAAGCUUUCUCCAGCACCCUGAUUAGGUCUACAGAACCUUUUGGUUCAUCUUUAAUUGCAGAUAAAGAGUGAGACAUCAAUUCACGAGCAUAUAGUCCAGCAUCAAUACCAAGAUCUGCCCAUCCACCAACACCAUCAGCUACACCGAUUGCUGGUGUAAGGGUACAAAUAAAAUGAGCAUCCUCUCCACCAGUUUUUGCUUUAGCAGGAUGAGGUAGGUAAAAGGAUCCCGAGUCUAGCUGCAAGGGGAUCUUUGCUUCAGAAGAAUUAACAACAUCCACAACUUGUUCCGUGCCCUUAGAAUUAUCAGAAGACACAUUAGAAGCAGAGGCAGUUCCAGAAAAGAAACAUUCAUGGGAUAAAUUGUGAAAACCUUCCAAUCCAAAGCCUUUGUGUGGAUGGAGGUUAGUCCUCCUCUUUGCAACAUUAGUCGUGAAAUAUUGGUAAAGCAUGAAGUUAUUGGGCCGUCCUUUGUUUCCCAAACUGAUGUUAGCUUUACUAACAUUUUGAAAGCCUCUUUUGUUGUAAGAAACAGUACAACUCUUUACUGACAAACUACACUGCAGGCGCCUAGCAGUCAUAUUGCCAACGAAAUGGCCAAUAUGAGUCCUUGAACCACAAACAGCCAUUAUGCCUUUCUGAGUAUCAAUAACAAAAGUAGCUCGGGAAGCAGCAAACCUUCAAGUGCAGAGUUCUGCAAAACCACGGAAGGAAACAACAUGAGGUUACAUAAGUAGAUUGCAUUUUCUUCUUUUUAAUGGACAUAGUAGAUAAAGCAAAGUGACAAACCAAGACACACAUAACACAAGCUCCUAUAUCUCCCCUUAAAUUAAUCUUAUAAACAAAAAUUUAUACUGAGGAGAUUGUGUUAUCAUGUGCAGGCGAGAAAGUGCAAGUUGUAAAGCUUGGCAAAUAAAACCUAUUAACUUGGAAACAAAAACGUCACACGAAACACGAAUAACAAGAAAAUUGACUCAGACAAAUUAAGAACUAAAAGCACAUUCAUGAAUACAAAAUUCCGGGGAGCUCAUUAGCAGCCAAAAGUUGCAAAAGAACUUUCCAAAGUGGAACUAUUCCGACAAUAAGCUCAAAGGCAACAAGAAAACUGUCAACAGUCAACGAAAGAGUGCGACACAGUGAGGCAGAGACAGAUAAUCAAUCCUUAAGGGGCCUGAAGGAGAACUUAGAAUUUCAAUUGGUUAUUCUUCUCAAUCUCUAUGUGGAAUUCUUAAACAAAAAAUCAGAAGAAAAAAUUUACACCCUAUGUUUAUCACAAAACCCCCCCCCCCCCACACACACGCCAAGUAUGGAAGUCCCUAACCAUCAUGGGGUAAGGGUGUGGUCCUGCAACAGAUCCAAGUAUGUAGUGAGUUGUUUCAACAUUUGUAACCCAAUCCCUUAUAGCUUCUGAAGUAGCAUCCUUGAGCGUAGCAGUUCCAGAGUGGACUGCUCUAACCUGCAAUGUUAAUUUUGGGAGACGUAAUUAAAUAGAGUGAUUUGAAUGCAAUGGAAAGAUCUCUUACAAAGUAUAAGAUAAAAUUAUGUAAUCUAUCCCAAGAAUAAAGAGGGAAAAAGGAAGAAGCUUAACCAUUUACAUUUUACAGGGACGUAUAACAAAAGAAAGGCGAUGGUUCAGCGAACCACGGUCCUCAAGCCCUAAAUAGAAUAAUAGAUGGUCUUCAGAUCAAAAUAGAGGCAGGGUAAUUUUUUAAAAAAGAGAUGAAUAUAGAGGCAGUGUAGGUAAUGCAAAACAAGAAAAUCUCCGGGCAACUUCUCACUUUGCAAAUAUCUGACAGAUUCAUGUAUUUUAAAUAAGAUUUCCCCUGUCCGUCUGUAUACAUCUUAUCCUACUCCCUAAGUUCAUGGAUAUUAUUAUUCAUAUCACAUUCUGUUCUCCCCAUUUACCAAUAGUUUGCAAUCAACCUUUUGUUCAUGUACCUAUGGACCACACUUACUAAUCAUUCCUGCAAUUGAGAAUUUAUGAAUGCGAGAAAAACACAGUACAUUUACAUUGAAAUUCAUCUGUGGAACGUAGGGAAGAAAUCACAGGAUUUUAUUGAACUAGUUAGUGUCAUUGCAGAUAACCAAGCCAGUUAUUAGAAGGUGCAGAGAUUUCAGUGAAACCACAAGUUAAUCAGUGAAUCUUUAAUCAAUUUCAAUCUCUCCUCAAGUAAGCUAUGAUCAGAGCCGUCAAUUUAUAAUGUCUGAUACAGACCUCAGCUCCAAGCAGUCGCAUUCUGAAGACAUUCAAUGCUUGCCUCUCCAUAUCUUGAGCACCCAUAUAAAUAACACAGUCCAAACCAAACCAAGCACAAACAGUUGCAGUGGCAACACCAUGCUGACCAGCCCCUGUCUCGGCAAUAAUGCGUUUCUUUCCCAAGCGCUUGGCAAGCAAAGUUUGUGCAACGGCAUUAUUGAUUUUUUGGGCACCAGUGUGGUUUAAAUCUUCUCUCUUCAGGUAGAUCAUUGGCCCUUCACCAUCUGGACGUUUAUAAUGCUCAGUAAGUCGCUCAGCAAAAUAAAGAGGGCUCUCUCUGCCAACAUAAUCUCUUAAUAUCCCAUCUAGUUCCUUCUGCAGUCAGCAUAAAUGGUGUACAAACAAGUUAGAAGUUUUAUAGGGGUCAACGAUUCUUCACAAUGCCAUACAAUUGAAAUCAAUCAAUCCAUCAGCGACGCCUCAAUUCCGAAACAGUUUGGAAUCAAGCUUCUGAAUCAUCUAUAUCCCUUUCUAUCUUUUCAAGUCCAUUUCAUUCAAAAUACAACAUAAUUUCUCGUAUUACUAAGAUUAGGAGUUCGUUAAGAGAAUUCCUUUUUGAUAAGAUAACAUAAUUUUGUUGAUGUUGCGGACUACCUUAUUUACACGUGAUAUACCAAAAAACAGAGAUCAAGAGCAUAAGCUCACAAGUCAUAACUACAGCACUUUAUAUCAUAAAAAAAACUUGAAUUGUGCUAAAUUUCCAGCAAAAUUGUAGCUCCUGCAGUUUCCAAAGAAAUUAUGCUCGAGGAAGAUGCUACCAUUUACUUAAAACAUUAAAACACACACGCGCACACAACGAUAUUUGCAGUCUAAGCUAACUUACUCAAUUAUUUCAACAUGUUAACAAACACAGACUUCGAAUAUCAGAAUAUACUAGUCAACUAGUUUCAUCAUUUCAUGAUUGAAUACCAAAAAUAAUUUUUUUUUUAUUAGUUUCACUCUUCAUAUUUCGAAGGAUAAAAGUAAAGCCUGCGGUAAUGUCCAAUCAAUCAGAUCCACUCUUAUUACAGAAUGCUGAAUGCACGUCAAAAAAUAACAAUAUCAACUAAUCUCAAAUCCUAAAGUUAGCAUAGCAAGCAAAAACGGAUUCUGGAUUCAAAGUUUACGAGUUUCUAUAACAAUUUCAAGUUGAUAUACAAUAAUAAAUGGAUUCACAAUGAAAUAUUUAGUAAAAUUCUAAAUAUAUAUACUAGAUCCUCCAAUGUAGUUUAGCUAAACUAUAUAUGUAUCUUUCAUAUAUCCAUUUCAUUCAAAUAAUCGAAGAAAUGAAACAAAAUCACCAAUCCGAGAAUGCAGUUAAUCAAACACCUGAAAGUCCUGGUCUGUAGCGAGCGAAUUGAAGGCAGUUUCCAGCUCAUCGAGAGCGUGCAUUAGAGUUUCCGGUUACAUACUUACCACCGAACUUUCCAAACCAGCCAAACGAAUCGGGUCGUUGAAUGGCGGCGGCAUCCAUUGAUUUUCCGGUGAGGACACAAGCUAUGGCUGGUGGAUUGGUGGGUGAAGACGUAAUUUUGAUGAAUUUGAAGGGUAUUUGCGAUUGAGAUAAGGAGGAGAAACGGUGAGGCUUCGGUAGCGGUAGAGCUAUUUGGCUCGGUGAGGAGAAGGCCAUGUUUGGAUGAUUUAUGAAAAUAAAGCAAAUCUAGAAUCUUUGUUUUUUUAUGACACUAUAAGAGGUCAGUGGGACCCAAUUAAAAUGACGUGGAUUAUUUUGCCAUUUUUAGAAGAAAAAAAAUUGGUUGAAAAGAUGGGUGUUCGAUUCUUCGAUUUGAUUCUUUUAUUUAUAUAUAACAUAAAAAUCUAAUUUCGAGAAAGAAAAAAUCAAUAGUUAUAAUGAACUAUUGUUAUAAAGAGGUAUGAUUGUCGCACUAAACUUUUCUUCAUAUAUUCUAUUAGUAUUACCAAAUACAAGAGCCCAAAGGUAAAAUAUCGUGGAAACUUUGCUGAAUUUAUCAUCAACCUUGAUUUCGCUAUACGCUCAAUAAGAAUUUAUCAUCAACCUUGAUUUCGCUAUACGCUAAGGUGAAAAGGAAAUACAAAUAUUACAUGUUAAUGAAUUCACUACUCCCUCCUUUUAUAUACAAAACAUAACGUAACAGUAGUAGUAGGAAGAACUAGAAGUCAAUAAUUGGUUCACCAAUAGUAAGAUUCCUCUUGACAGACCAAGGCAAGUUAAAGAGCUUUGCCAUUAUGAACUUAAAGAUCUUAUUCACAUUGAUGUUAUGCGUUGAACUUGAGAAGAAAAGUGUUGCUUUCAUUGCCUUUGCAUAUGUCCUUGCUUGCAAAACACCAAUGUGCCACAUACUUAUUAUAUCAGUACAAUACGAGAUGACGGAAUGCAAUGGAAUGAGUCAGUAUGUUCAGAACAAGUGUUGUCUUAUUAAUACGUAUAUAUAGUUCGAGCUGAAUUGAUAGGGUCAGUUGAACUAAUAGAACGUGCUCUAGAUUCUAAUUUCGUUAUAUCUUACCUACUACUUUUGUUUUCUUGGUUUGUUGGGGGUGGGUGGACUCUGUGGUAGGGGACUGGAGGAUGACAAUAACUAACCCAAAAGACUAGUUCCUUUCAUCUUCUUAGUAUUUAUAAACAAAAUUAAAUUUUUCAUAUUCUUGUGAAAACGAAGUUUGCAACUAAAGCAGGAAAAUUCAGUUGAUAAUGCAAAUACCACCCCAAUAUAUGUGGGGGUCACCCGUCUUCAUUUAUGGAGAAACGAACAUUUGAGGAACUUGUUAGGAUCACAUCGCUUUCCUACUUGCACAAAGUAGAAGUGUACAAACAUGAGGAAGAAUGGUCUUUAGUGAUAUGACGAUUGAGAUGAUUACAUAUAUUAAUUAAUCACGAUUAGUGAUAGAAGGUUCUUUGAGCCGAGGGUCUUAUCAUAAACAACUUCUCUACCUCUAAGGUAGGGGUAAGGUUUGCGUACACUCUACUUUGUCUAGACCCCACUUUAUGGGACUACACUAGGUAUGUUGUUGAUUAGUGAUAGAAAGUGCAUAUAAAGGGGCGUGUUUUGUUAGUUUGGUGUGUGAGUAAGUUUUUUCUGUAACGAGUAACGACCUCUACAUUUAUAAGGCUUAAAAAACCAUUUAGAAGAAGGAAUGAAGGAAACAUUUAAGUAUAUUAUGUUGAUCAGAAUUGUACCUGUGUCACCACAGACCAUUGAAUGUCUGGUGGAAGCUGAACAAAAUCAUCAAAUUUGGUCCCAAUUAGUAUUGGAAUAGCAGUCUGUAUUUGUCAAUUAUAGAAGAAAAAGAUUAGACUUAAUUACCUUAGCUAACAAUGUUUUAAAUUCUAUAAAUCAUGUAUUAUAAUUGUUCCUUCCAUCCAUCAUUAUCAAGAACAGUAUUUGACUUCGUAAUCUUUACCAAUACAUAUUAAAUUAGUUUUCAUUGGUAAAGAACAACAGAACUUAGUGAUAAUGAUCAUCAUGAUUGUUAUUCAAUUGAUUUCUUUUAAUAGCCGUGGUGUACGGACCAACUUGGAGGCACCACGACUAAUUCCACAGGUAUGUACAAGGUAACUCUGUCUGCCAAAGUUCGGACAUAUGAGAGGAAAUCACCUAGUGUUUGAACCCGAGACCUCAUGCUUCUCAACCCCCUUUAUUGACCUCUAGACCACACCCUUAUACGCCGUUGUUCAAUUCAUUCUUCUUGAAAGUUGAAGCUAAUCAAGUUUUGCUAAUAACGACGUAUUCUGGUCAUUAAGUUUCAAUCAUUCAAAUCUAAAUGAACCAACUGAUAAAGUUAUCAUCUUCAAGAACAAAAAGUAACUAAAGUACUACCUUACUUAUUGCCAUAUGCUACUUUUUAUUCAAAAGAGUGAAAGUAGUUCCAACUACUGUCAUUACUCAGUUCCUUUCAAAACUUUACUUCAGUAUAUCAAUAAAGUCCCAACCACUAUAGUUAAGUUGCUAUUUGUACUACUUUUUCUUUUAUUUGGUGAAAUGAAUUGCUACUGGCUAGUGAAAGUCUCAUCCAACUUUUUUCUUUGUUAGUAAUAAGUAAAAGAUGAUUCUUGGUUCUAAAGUUUACUCCUUUUUUCAAGAAAACAACAUCAAAGUGAAAGAGAAGUUAAAGUUACUCACCUGAUUCCACUUUCUUGCUUCAGUAUACCAACUUAUCACACUGAAAUUGCAAAAAAAAAAGAAAAACAAAAGCUUUUAAUAACGGUGUUCAAGUUUUAUGCACUAACAAUAUAAGAAAUACGAAUAAAUCUUCUUCUUGUUUUGACAGUAUCAGAUUAAAGCUACAUACUUGUUCAAUGUACUCCGGCUAGUGAGAUCGAACAUAAAGAGAAUGGCAACAGCAUCUUUACAAGCAAUUGGAAUCUGAUCAAAUGAGCUAUGAUCACCUAUAAACCAAAAGUUUAAUUUCAAAACCGAAUUAUUCACUGCAUUGAUUAAGCUACAUUAACAACCUUAAAAGUGAAAAAAUUGGCCUAAGCAUAAUUAGCUUUCCAGAAUAAGGAAGAAAAUUAAUGAACAUACCUCCUACAUCCCAUAUUCUAAAUGCAAUUCGUGCACCUCGUACAACUAAUGUUUUAUCCAUUAAGUUCAAUCCCUUCAUCUGCAAGCACCUCUUUUCUUGUUCAUCACCUACAUACUUAAUCUGGAAAACAAAAAAUUUAAAAGUUACCAACAGUGUUAAAAAAACUGUUUCUUUGUUUAAGCAUAAGAAGUUAACAUUCUAACUCGGAAAUCAAGGGUGUGAACUCGUGAUCAAUAAAGUGGAAAAAGGCCAAUUGGGCGUGUUUGGUGGGGUGAAAAAUAUUUCCAAUUUUCUGAUGUUUGGUUAAAUAAAUUACUUUAAAAUGAUUUCUUGUGUGUUCCCCACAUUCCACCCCAUCCCAACCCCACCCCUAGAUCAUCCAAACCCCACCACCUCCCAACCCCACCCCUAGAUCAUCCAAACCCCGCCACCUCCCAACCCCACCCCUUGAUCAUCAAAAUCCCUGCCACCUCCACUCCCCACCACAUUCCAACCUGUAUAUUUUGCUAAAUAACAUAUAGUUGCUCUCGGGGUAAUAUUUUUUUUUGCUUACUUACUAAACACAAGAAAAAAAAUAAAAGAUGCACUCGUUUUCCAAGAAAACAUUUUCCUUCCUAUCAAACACACUAGAACUCAAAUUUCACUAGAAAAAAAAAUCAUCCAAAUCUUGGUGAAUAGUAUUGUUGCUCGGACUCUUCAAAAAUAGUAUUGGUGUGUCAAAUCCUAAAAAAAGCGUUUUUGGAGGAUCCAAUAUAGGUAUGUCAACAUUUUUGGAAGGUCUGAUCAACCUAGGCUCAUGAGCUACUCGAUAAUAGUCUAUAUGUUCUUAAAUUGGUCCGUACACGGGGCGGAGCUAGAGCUUCGCCUACAAGCGGUUUUUUUUUAGAAUUCAGAACUCCUAAACUCAAAAUCUUAAUUCUGUAAACAUAACAAAGUAACAUACUUAAGCUAAACAGAGAAAAUUAUGUUAAACUUACCACAAAACUUGUUUUACCAAUCUGACAAUCACCCAAAAUACUGAUCUUUAAAGUAACUAAAUCUGAAUCACUAUCAUACCCACUACAAGUUGCAGUCAAAGGAUCACCUUCUCCACCACCUACUCCAUACCCUUCAACUUCCUCCAUAGCCACCGGAGACGAUGAACUUCUUCGAGACAAACGCCGGUACCUCACCGGUUUCCGGCCAGUUGAACAAACAAUGAUUCUUUCCCAAAUAAAACGAAAAAACUCCCUAAAGAUUGAAGCUUUAUCAAAUAUCUUCCACCUAAUCUUGACUUGAACUAUUUUCCGGCAAAUAUUAGUCAUUUUUCCCGGUGAAAAAUCAUGGGUUUUCUGAGCCAUGAUGUAGAAAAUACAUAAGAACUGAUUCUGGGUUCCACAUUUUGACAGUCUUUUUCUAGUUGGAAUUUUCUGGUUGGAUUUAUUUGUGACUUUGUGAAGACGAUGACAAAUUGUUGACCGGCAUGUGUGUGUUUUUUAGGAAUGUAAAAAAGAGACGGUCCAAUUUGCCGGCCGGCGUUCUGUUUUUGAUGUAAACGUGGGUAUAUAGGUCAAUUGUUAGGCACUUGCUACAAUAUAUAGAGGUUAUAUAUAGGGGUAAAUGUUAAAAGACCGACAAAAGUCUCACAUCGUUAGUUAAUGAGAUGGGUAGACUUCUUAUAAGACUUGGGCAAUCCUCCUCUAUUUGAGCUAGUUUUUGGGGUGUGAGUUAGGCCUAAGACCUAAUCUAACAUGGUAUCAGAGCAGGGUCCGUCUCACCCGUAAUCUAACAAUCAUUUUCAUUAAGGGUAUUUUUGAAGUAUAAAAUUGUUGAGUUCGAUUCGAGGUUUGAGUAUAGAAAAAAAAAAUCAUAUUUACUUGUGUCUUUAAUAUGAAUUUAGAUUAACCAGACAAUAAAGAAGAAAAGAAUUUAGAAUUGUUGAGUUGAUUCGAGAUUUAAUUAUGAGAAAAAUUAUAUUAAUGAACAUUUUUCACUUGUAGUUGGAUAGAUAAUAAGAAAAGUGAAAGGAGAAAUAGAGAGGGAGAAAACGAAGUAUCUAGUGAGGAAGGUUUUUUUUUAGUAGAUUAGGAAUUUGAACAUAAUUUGACUUCUUAUUUGUUAAGGGUCGUUUGGUAGGUAGCCAAGUAAUUUAUUUAUGUAUUAAUUUUUGAUAACUUAGUUCGAUAGUAAUUAGUUAAGAUGUAAGUUUAUAAUUUAGAAAUUUGUGUUACAAAAUAUAAAAUAAAAUAGCUAAUACUCAUAUAAUUGAUACUUAUUCAACUAAUACAUAUAUCAUUUAGCUAGCUACUAUAUGAUCCCUUAAAAACAUAAUAAAAAAAUAACCUUAAGUAUGCUUUACAUUUUGAGUUCUAAAAAUAAAGAACUUUUUUUACCAAAAAUUACUUGAUUUAUAACAUAUAAGAUUAUUAAUAUAUUGAUUCUUCGUUGGAAAUUAAAUCCUAAUCUAAUCAAUUUUUUAACUAUUUCAUUCACCGCUAUAUCGUGGCUUUUAUGAAGCUUACCAAAUUAUUUUAUCUUAAGAUGAAAACAUACAUUAUUUAACUUAAGAGAAAUAAAUUAAUGAAAAAGAGUCAAGAUUUGAUUGGUGGAUACAGAUCAUAGGAUAUUUUAAAUUUUUUGACAUGCUAAUAACAGAAUAAAGUUAAACAAAAAAAAGCUGCAAAAUAGCAUAAGAAUGACUCAUACUUUUGUGCUUUUCCACAAAAGCAUUUUGUUAGAAUUAAUAAAGUUUAUUUAUGCUCUACUUUUUUCCCAGCUAAUCAGGUCCAUAACUUUUUUUUAGUACUUCAUAGUGUGAAUCUUGUUUUAUACUUUAACAACAAAUUUAAGUUUUGGUUUUGCACAAAGUGAGAAUAUUAUAGUCUCUGUGUUUUAAUUUAUUUGUAUUACUUUUCUUUUUAAUUAGUUUAUUUAAUAAAAAUUAUCUCUUAAUUUCAAUAUUUAACAUGACAUAGCUAGAUUAUUCAUGUUGAUCGAAACUUCUUUAAAUCUUGCUCUUUCAUUAAAAAAAAUCUCUCAAUUUAUAUUAUUGUUGUUUGCAAAUCAUCUACUCGUAUUUAUUUUUGUUUUUUUUGUUUUUCAUUCAAUGAUCGGUGUUUACAUUAGAGCCCGAUCAAAUAUGGUUUCAGGUCAGAAAGUUCCACAUUAGAGGUAAAACGUUCCCUAACAAAAAUAAUUUUCUACUCAAACUCUAAACAUCUGGUUAAAGAUGAAGAAGUACUCAUUUAUUCGUAUUUUUCCUAUUAAUAGAGUUUUGGUGUACACAAAACAAAACAAAUGGACUCUCUGUGUCCUAAUUAUUUGAAAAAUAAAAGUCCUAAUUUGUCCUUCCAACUUUAACUAUGAUUUAAAACUAGGGUAAUGCUAAAUGGCAAAAAACAUUGGUCAGAAAUUUGCCAGAAAAUUUUAAAAGUGUAUAAUAUCUUUUUUAUUUUAAAAUAAAGUGAUCUUUUUCCAUUUUUUUAAUUAAAAAAUAUGAAGUUAAAAGGAUAAAAAUGUUCAAAAAGGUAAAAUACCAUUUUGACCAAAUGUUCUGGCCAAAAGGAUUUUUCCUUAAAACUAAUACUACUAGAUUUGAGUGUUGUAGACUAAGGGCAAAAACAGAAGCGAUUAUUAGGUAUGGAGAGGUAAAUUCUGAAUUUAUAAACUUAGUUCCACCCUUGACUUUUCCCUAACGACGAUAAUAGUUAAAAUGUAGUAUAUAAACUUAUUCCUUUUUAAAAACAAUUGUAAUGAACUUCUCUAUUUUCUCUUAAAAUUUAGAAUUAUGGUAUUAUAAUUAUAAAAUUCUAGAAGCCAACACUAAUUAGCGGAUUAAACAGACAAUUGUAGAAGUCAAAUGUCUUAAUCAACUUUGUAAUGAAUAUAAAAUAAGACACAAAUUAAUUACGUGAGAUUCUUCAAUCAACCAUUAAAUAAAACUAUAUAAAAAUAAAAUAAAACUGACUUUAGUUCAUAGUUUAAUUAUCUAAAGAAAAAUAAUUCAUGCAUGUAUUAUUUUAUAAUAUAAUAAAUAUAAUUUAGGUAGAAGGCGUGACCAUGAAGAAUCCAACAUGCCACAUAUCAUUAAUUAUGUGGAUAAAAUUAAAACUGAAAACGACCUUCUAGCUAAUUGAAUGAUUAAUUAUUUAAUUUACCUAGAACAAAAAAAUAAUGAUUUGUUAAGAAUGUAUUUUAUUUUUUUUGGGUCAUGUUUGCUACUUUCAUUAAUUCAUUUAGGGUAGUAGGGGUAGGUACAUUCAAACUUCCAAAAUGGACUUUGGUUGAUAGCUAUUACAAAUUAAAUCACCUAACUUUAGAUAUUAUAAUAAAGUCAUUGUGUUGGUUGCAAUGUUUGGAACUUGAAGAAAAAUGAAAAGUUAAGUAUAGUGGUACCAAACCUAGAAGAAUGAUUUAUCAACAAUAGAUAGAUGUAUUAAUAGAAGAUUGUUGUUAUAGCUCGAUACUUAAUAUUGAUGAUCUGAAAUUGAUAAAAUAUUCAGUAGAAUAAUUAAUGUGUAUUCGAAAAUUUUAGUGAAACAUGAUUGAUUAUACGUUAUUCUUUUUUUAAUUUAGUGAUAAAUUUUAAGAUUGUAAAUUUAACGGUGAGUAUGCAUAAGAUGCUUUCAAAGACAAGACGAAAAUUACAUGUCCAAGAGCAUCAAAUAACUCUUGAAGGAGUAAAAAGACUUCACAUUGUAUGAGUUGCUCGUGCGUCAACUAUUGAAGCUUGAUACAAACCAUCAAAUGGCAUUGCAACCUUAUGCAUCGAAGUAUAAGAUAUUACAGUUCAAAAUACUUUCAUUCAAAUAAUAGUUAAAAUUAUUCUAUUUUAAAUUUAUCUCAAUGCUUCUUAAACAUUCUCAAAUAUGUCUAAAAUGUGUAAGAACAAAUUCUUGUAUUCAAACAAAUCGUUUGUGUUUUCUUUAUCUUGGUAGAUAUUUUGGUUAUAUAUAGCUAACACAAUUUCAUUGCUCCUAAUAUAUAAUAAUAGUUUACGUUAGAUUACAAUAUAUAUUAUUCUAUUUUCCUUGUAGUCUUUCAAUCAGAGUCAAAUUAUUAGGCAACAUUACUUGAUAAAUGAAAUUAAUGUAGAACAAACACGUGUAUACAAAACAAACAAAAAAAAUAAAAAUAAAGGUCACAUACACAAUCUCAUCAAUGGGGCUAGCCCCAAUAGACCGUGGCGGAGCCACCUUAUUUUGGAGUUAUAGUUAAAAUAAUUUUUUAGAUAUAUAUAAUAGAUGUCAAAUUUCUUUUGACUAUUCGUGUGUUUAUUUCUUUAGAUUUUGACUUUUCUUAUUUAAAAUUCUGGCUCUGAGCGGGUUGUGUGGUUUUCAUACUCAUAUAAGUAGAUUUAUAUUUUGCCUUUGAUAUUCUAUAUUAUUACUUCACUUAUUCUAUACAGUUUUGUAAAUAAAGCCAUAUUUUGAUGUUUUUUUAGGAUGCUUCUGCAGUAUUUUUCCAAUUUAUAUUUUGCCCUUAAUAUUGUUUUUUAUUACUUCAGUUGUUUUGUACUUUUCUGUAAAUAAAGCUACAUUUUUGUGCCUUUUAAAGAUGCUUAAAUCAUUCUUCCUUCCUUCAUUAUCUUUGUUUGCUACUGUUUAUUCCAACUUCUUAUAAUUAAUUAAUGAGAAAUGUAAAUAAUUGAUCUAAUUAAUGAGAAAUAUAAAUUUUAAAUUUAAUACUACGUUCAUGUUCAUUCCAAUUUUAGAAACAUUAUUUGACUAGAUAAAAAGUUUGAAAAAGAAAAGACGGCAUUUCAAAUUUGUAUUCUAAAACAAGUCUCUAAAAACAUAUUAAAAUUUGAUUAACUCUCCAUAUUUCACAUGUGCCAUAUAAAUUGGGAUAAUGAAAGUAAUAUAUAUUAUUUGAAAAUUACGUUAUGAAUAUUAUAAAUCACAACUUAUAGUAUUUAAAAACAUAUCAAAAAACAUAUCAAAAAUUGAUUAACUCUCGAAAUUUCACAAGUGUCACAUGUAAAUUGGGAUAGGAAAUAACAAAGGGUGUGUUUGGUAUGAAGCCAAAAAAAUAUUAUGUCAAGAGAAUUUAUAUAUUAUCUAGUAAAAUAAUAUGAAUUUCCCAAGAUAUAAUAUUGUAUGAUAUUAUAUGGAAAAAUCCUUUUGGUCAGAAUGGUAAAAUAACAUAUUUCACACUAUGUUGUUUUACCUUUUUGAACAUUUUUACACUUUUAACUUUACGACCCUUUCAUUAAAAAGUGGAAAAAAGAUCAGUUUAUUUUAAAAUAAAAGGAUAUUAUAAACUUUUAAAUUUCUGGCCAAAUUUUCUGGUCAUUUAGCAUUACCCGAUAUUAUAUAUUGAGAAACAUAACGUAAUAUUUAUGUUGGACCUUACAUCAUUGAAAAUUUCAAAUUUUAUGCAUAAAUCACAUUUACUCCAUGCGUUUUAUGCUUUAGUUAAGGAUUUUCGCUGCAUUUCCUUGUUUGUCCUCUUAAUUGCAUUAAUUGAAUUCAUUGCAUAUAUUUCACCACUUAUAUUAUACAAGAACUUUACUUUAUUGCAUAUAUUUCACCACUUUAUUAAUUUAUUCUCACAUAAAUACACAUACAUUUAAUAACUUUACUAUGCCAAAUUUAAUAACCAAUUAAUAUAGAUUUAGAGAUUGUUUUAUAUCUUGCUAUUUUUGUUAUCAUUUUUUUUAUAAUUUUGCGUCGAAUACUUUCUCUUUUGUGUUGAGGGUCCAUCGGAUACACUUUCUACCUCAAAAAGGUUGGGACAAGGAUUGUAUACAUUCUACCCUACUCAAACCAUACUUGUGAGAUUACACUUGAUAUGUUAUUAAUUGUUGUUAUUACUUAGCUUAUAUACUUCUUAAUAUAUAUAGUUACAAAGAUUGUUUUGUUUCUUGCUAUUUUGUUAUUUCUUUUGUUAUAAUUCUGUGUUGGAUAGUUCCCUUUUGAAUCGAGAGUCCUUCAGAAACAACUUCUCUACCUCAUUAAGGUAGAAAUAAUGUAUGUGUACAUCUUACAUCUAUGGGAUGUAAUCUUGACAAAAAAAUAAAAGUAGGUCAAAAAAAUUUAUAUGUAAUAUUAACAAAACACGAUGGGGUGAAAUGUGGGCGUUAGUGAACUUUGUGUUUGAGCUAAUUUGCAUAGCUCACACAUCAUUGGUCUCAAGCCUGAAUAAAGAAAGAACGGUCGCAAUAAACUUUAUGAUAGUCUUAAAAUCAUCAUGAAAUAUUAGUCAAUUUUAUGAUAAAUAUUUAUAUAUAAUACAUACAUUUUUUUUAAAGAAAUAUCUGAAUUUUGUUCUAGCUGAAAAUUUUCCACUGGUAGUAUAACUUCCUAAUUUCUUUAUUCCCAAGUUGUAUAUCAUUUACAAAUUUAAUUGUAUGGACUUUGUUGCUUGUGGCAUAGAUAUCGUUGCCGUUAAUCAAUAUACCUUAGGUAAAAAUAUUUAACUAGAGACAACCUACUUGUAGGUUGAUGAAAAAAAAAUUUAGCGAUUAAUCUGAGUUGUGGCGGGAUGGUCAAAAUUUAUUUAUUUUGACUAGUGAUAUCGGUUUGAUCUAUUUUGAAAUGGAAAUAGAAUUCCAUUGAAAGCACUGCUCUCAAAAAUAGACUCUAUAAUAUGUGAAUUCAAAUCCAGUCGACCCAAUACAAAUAUCAUAUAUUAAUCGAGAAAAAAAAAGAAUCUUUUUACAUUGAUUAGUAAAAUUAUGAAUAUAAUAAUUAUUAGUUAUAUACUUAUAAGAAAUGGAAUGAUGAAUAUUUUAUGGCCAACACUAAUAUAUGCAACAAAUAGCUAGGUACUAAUCUAAUUAAUGAUGUUUACUAAAUACAUGGAUCUUAAUUAUCUUGCAGGACUAGUUGGUUGUGUAACAAUUUGAAAUUCACACUAUUAAUUUUCUUUUUUGGUAAUAGUAGUUGUCAAUAAUUUUUAUUUUCUUAUAAGUAUCUUGAUGACGGUUCCAAAUUUAUUAUUAAAUAAACCAUCAACAUAUUUUGAUUAGAGACAAUUCUUCUCGUAUAAAUAAUGAUGUUCGAGUCAGCUAAUCUGAACUUCUAUUUUAUUAGGGAAAAUGUUUUUUUUAAUGGAAUCACUACUCAAAACACGUAAAUUUCCAAGGGAAAGCCCGUUGGAAUAGGUCUCUUUAUAACAUUUUUAAAUAAAAACACUUAAUUAUAACAAUUAGUUUUUUCGAAACUGAUUUUUUAUGUUAUAUUUUAUCUUUCUAUAAGAUCACCGAUAAUAGCUUUAGAAAUACCGAUCAAAUAUUUUGAUACUUUAUUAUAUUAUAUGACAAAGAAUAUUAUAUGAAUAUAAAUUUCUAUCAUUAAAAUUUUUUCCUUUAUUUACAUAAAAUGUGAUAUUAAUUAAGCUACAUUAAAAUUCGUACAUGCAUAAAAUUAAAAAAAUGAAAAUUUUAAUUUUAUGUUUCUUUUUUACCUAUAAUAGCCAAAUAUUAUUAUAAUAAUUGUAUAUCAAAUGAUUUUUAUAGCAACCAAAAGUUUUCAAAACAAACGAUAUUGUUAUAGAGAUAGUUCGAGAGAAGGCCCAAAAUAGUCCCUCAUCUUUGAGUUAAGACUCAAAGUCAUCCUUGAGUUUUCACAUAGAGCACUAAUAGUCCCUCAUGUUUGCAAUAUUGGUGCAUUUUUUGUCCUCCCCUAAAUUUUUGCCUAUUUUUUAACAUUAACUUUGUUUAUAAUUUUAUGCAAGGAAUGUCCCAUCAUCUUUUUUAUGUAUUUAAUAGAAAUAAUAACUUCAUGUGAGAGAUUGUGAGAAGAAAAACACCUUGUUUUGUUUAGUAGAAAUCGUAUUGCAGGUAAAGUCGAGAGGUUCAUCACGACGAUUUUACGUGCAAUAGUACAAAUUUGCAAUGUCAUAUGUUAAAAUGUUCUUAGUUUAGCUACAGUAAUAUUUAUAUUGAAUAGAACAAGGUGUUCUUCAUCUCACCUUUAUUUUAGAUAUUUUAUUUGUGUCUAAUUGUGAUUCACAAGUCACGCCAUGCAUAUAAUUUGUUAUUUAAAUGGAAGAUUCGUAAAUUAAUUAUGAAAGAUAAGGGAUAAAUUCAAAAAUAUCUUGUUUUAUUCAUAUAGUUUGUUAUUUAAGUGGAAGAUUCGUAAAUUAAUUGUGAAAGACAAGGGAUAAAUUAAACAAUAUCUUGUUUUAUUUUCCUCUAAAAUAUUUCCGUUUAUUAUAAGCUAAGCAAAGCUAUUCAUCAUUGGUAGAUAUUUUAGUCAGCUAGAAAUAAUAUUUUCUACAAACAAUUUAGCAACGAAGAAUUUCAGUCUCUUUCGUAAAGAAUUCUCAUAUACUUGCUUGAGAUUAUUAGUUCAUUUUACGUCAAUAAGUGAAUCGAUCUAAUAAUUAAUUAUAGAGAAUAUAAUAAAAUAAGUAAACUUUUGUAUGAAGAGUUGUUUGAAGGAAACUUUUGAUAACGUUGAUGCAUUAAUUCCUUUUAUGUUUGCCGUUUAUAUUGUUAUGACAGAUAAAGUAGAAACUUCUUUUUGCGUGUUGCGGUCCUACCUUUUGUUAUGAUGUAUAAGUACUAACAUAAGUAUAUAGAAUGAUCUAGUGAUUAACCAAAUAAUUAAAGGUCUUGUAAUCAAAAUAUUAUGAAUUCCAACAAGCAAAAAAACAACAGAUGUAACUUUUCUAAGCUUUGCUUGCAAAAGGUAUUUCAAUUUACUAUAAUUAAAUAAAAAAACGUCAUAAGUAUUGGCCCACGUUGGGUGAGUUAAGGUAGUUAUACAAUUAAUCAAUUAAUUAAUUAAUUUCUGAAUUACAAACUGUCAUUAGGUGAAAUAGCUUUUUCACUUUAAUCAAUUAUUAUAUGAUAAAUUAAUCAAAAUAAUAACUACUACAUUCACUUGUUGCAUUCUUGUUUGAUGAGAAAUUGAUUACUCAAUAUUUUACUUGUUGCAUUCUUGUUUGAUGAGAAAUUGAUUGCUCUAUAUUUUAAGUUGGUGAUAGCUAAAAUUAAAAGCAAAAAAAUUGAAAAAGAGAUAUACAUCGUAUGAACCAAAUAUGGAUUUUUUUUAAAAUUUUUUUUAUGGUUGGUGAAGAAUAUAACAAUAACUACAUUAAUGGGGAUUGCAUAUUGAAUAUUGAUAAAUCACCAAGUUAGAAUCAAGAUUAAUACGAGUUCGAUCAAAUUCAAUAACUUUGAUUCUAAUUCAUCACCUUUUUAUGCAUAAUUAUGGCAAAGCUAAAAUUAAGGUCAAAUACGAGUUCGAUCAAAUUUAAUAGCUUUGAUUCAAAUUCAUCACCUUUUCAUGCAUAAUUGCUAGAAAGGUCAGAUAUGAGUUCGAUCAAUUCAAUAACUUUAGUUCAGAUUCAAUAUUUACAUUAACAAAUUCAUUAAACGUAUAUAAAAAUUAAAUUGAGAACACAAAUUAUUUAUACUUGAUAUUGCUAAUUUGAAAUUUAAAAGUUCAAAUUCCGACUCUACCCAUCGUGUUCAAUUAUACAUUCUUGUUUUUGUUGCAACACGUAAGAAACACGAGACUCAUGACAUAGGUGACUUUUUACUUGUCUUAUUUUAGUUUGGUUUAGAGAUAAAGAUGUGACAACCAUAGAACAUCUUUCUCAUUUUAACUAACAACUUCUAAUAAUAAUAAAAGAUCAUAAUAUAAAUGUAUAUUUUUCAUUUGAUAGCUAAGUUAUUUAGUUCACAAAUAAAAAUAAUAAUUGAGGUAUGACACGAAGUUGUGAAAUUUACACAAUGACAAAAUGAGAAUAAUGUCUUAAUAUGAUGAUUGAUGGCAACAUUUCAACUAUGAAGUCCAUCAAUUAGUGUUCCAAUUUUUAUUUUUUAUUUUGUUUUUUCAUCCCAUCUCGAUGUCUGUUACGAUAUAGAUUAAUCCAAAUUCACAUUAAGACAUCACCACUUUGAGAGUAAAACACUCUAUAUUAAAAAGAAAUUAUUUCAAUCUUUUAUUCUCCUAAUUAUUCAAAUUUCAAAUACACUCAGAAAAGGUUAAUAAAAAUAAAAUAAAAUAGAGCCACCCCAUCAAGCCUUAUGUUGAAGCUGGAUGAAUUGACCUCAAUGUAGAUUGAUCUUUAAUUUUAUCUACAAAAAUGAAUUGAUUUUUAAUUUUUGCCUUUUAAUAACUAAACUUACGCCUACUGAAGCAUACAUUCUUUAGAAAUUGAAGUAAAAAAAAGGGUGUGUUUGGUAUGGAGGAAAAUGUUUUCCUAUUUUCUUUUGUUUGAUUGCAACAAAAUGUUGGGAAAACAUUUUCCUAAACGACUUGUUUUCCUAAAAUCAGCGGAAAACGACUUCCGUAACAAGUCUGCGGAAAUCAUUUUCCGGAAAAGAAGUCGACGCGCAACACAAGCGAAUUUCACCCCAGCCUACGCCCUUGCCCACCCUCAAAGGAGCGCUGUUUCUCCAUUAUUUCUCCAGCUUGUUCCUCUCCAAAUUUAGGGUUUCCAUUGUUGUUCUUCUCAUUCAUAUUCCUGUAAGAAUUUCGAAGGUAUGCUUUCAAUAAUUCUUCAAAAUAUUCAUCUUUCACUUGCUUUUCUGCUGAAAUACUUGCUCAUGUGUUUGAAUUUGACUUUACUUGGUGAAUUUAUGCAUUGGAUUCGAUAUUUUUUGGUAAAUCUAUGAAUUGUGGCCUUUUGCUUUCGAUAAGGAUGAGCAAGCAUGUGUUUCAUUGUACUAUGCACAGUUGAAAUAUGUGUGUGGUGUACAGAGAUGAGCAACUGUGCACAAUAAUGUGAAAAACUUCAAGUCUCAACUGUAUAGUGUUAGCUAGAAGCAUGUACUAAUGUAUGGCACGCUGUUUUCAAGUUAUUUUUUGAUUAAAACGACAGUUCGAUACAUAAAAUAUAUUCAUCGUAAAAUUAGAGAUCUUAUUCUAAAGGAUUAUUUGAUAGUGUGUGUAGAAAUAAUAGAAAAAUAUCAAGAUCUAGUGGGGAGGGGUUGGGGGUGAAAGAGCAUAGAAAAUUAUUUCCCUAAAAAAAUUCCUUACUCACCAACCAAACAAUAGAAAUUGUUUUCCGGAAAAUAUUUUCCACUCACUAACCAAACAUAAGAAAACAAGUUAAAAAUCAACUUGUUUCCAAGAAAACAUUUUCCAGGAAAACAUUUUCCUUCAUACCAAACACACCCAAAAUGUAACUUGAGAAAUUUCAUAAUACGAAAAAUAUAUACUUAUAUCCCGUAAAAAAGUUUUUUUUAUUAACGAGGAACAUAAAUUAAAAACCAACACAAAGUAAAGGCCAUAAGUACCAAUAGGCAAUGACCCUUUCAAAAUGGUUAUAAACGAAACUAUGGAUCGGCCAAAUGAAUAUGACUCUUAUGCUUUGGCCCAUUUAGCCCAUCACAUUCAUCAAAUUUCCUUAGCCCAUUUGUCAGACGAAUUCAACCCGAACACCUAUUGCUCCGCCGCUCGGAGCACACUAGUCGCCGGUCGACGAUCGCCGCCCGUCGCCGCCACCGUAAGUAUUUUUACUGUCUACUUAGUUUCUGAAUUUGUGAAGUCUUAUUAUAGUUUUUCUCUGUUACAGCUGAAAUUAUGGGCUCAGAGAUGGAAGUAGUUGAGCAGAGGCUAAAUACUUUUGUAAGUCAGCUCCAGACAGAGUUUGCCAUUCUCGAUCGUCUCGUUUACAAAAACAAAAACCAGCAUAGAAGAUGCUCAUAUUUUCAGUACCUCUUAAAGGUUGUAUGUUUACCAAUAUUUCUUCAUAUAUGCAUGUGUAAUGAGCUUAUUCUCGUAGUUUCUUGUCUUACGAUUUCUGUUAUUAUUCGUUGUUUCAUGUGCUUCGGUUAUCACAUUAUUUGGCUACUGCUAUUGUUCCUUGUCUUUACUUCUGUUUGAUAUGUGUUACUUGAACCAAUGGUCUUUUAGAAACAACCUCUUAGCUUUGUGUUCCUUGAGUAUGUUUCUGCCCUAAACUAAGAAACAGUAUAGUGCUCGUUUUGAUAAGAGUAUUGCAUACUAUCUGCUGGAAUGUUUUCAAUGUCCCCCUUAUGCAACUAUGGGAAUUUCUUCUAGUUCGCUAACUGUCUUUUACUACGGUUCACGUCUGUCCUUGAACUGACCAAAAAGCUUUCUAUUUGAAUGGAAUUCCACAAUUGCAUAAGAUUCGGUCUUGAACGAUUAUACUUUUGGUUAAUUGGUUAGGUGUCGAUAGCAACAUAACCUUUGCUUUGGUCUAUACAAUGCGUAGGGGUAAAGGUCUGUGUACAUACUAACCUCCUCAGACCUCACCUAUGGCAUUAGACUGGGUAUGUUGUUGUUGUAGUGGGCCUUGCUUUGUUUAAACACAAAGAACUAUCAUAGAAGAUGUUCCUAUUUCCAAUACCCCUCAAAGGUUGUUACCAAGGUUUAUUCAUGUAUAUAUAUUAUCUGCAUAGGGGGUAUUGAUGGGAUUUGCUUUUUGUCCUAAGUGCAAUGCUUACUUUAUAUGUUUGUUUUGAUGAUACUAUUAGGUGCGAAGAGAUGUGAGACUCCUCCAAACAGCUAACUUGGAGGAGGUUUUGAGUGCCUCCUUUCAAGUUCUUAACGGAAAAAGACCCAAGCAAAAAGUGCAGCUUUUGGGAAGGUACUUUAGACCCCUUUAAAGUACCUACAUUUUGUUUUAAGGUUUUUAUUAUUAUAGUUUUUGUAGUGAUCAUAUGCCAAGUUUUGGAAUUUUGAUUACAUCAUAAAUGUAUACCACCUUUUCAUAUCUGUCAAUGAGUAAAUUUUGAUUGGAGAUGAGCGCUCCUCAUACUCUUGCAUUUUUCUACUCUUAUAUUGAUGUCUACCACUUUCUGUCAGUGAAACAAUUGAACAGACCUAUAGGGAAGCUUACUGAAAUUGCCUUCCUUACAUAUAUGAUUGUUAUCAAUAAUCAUCAAUCUCUUUGUAUUGUUUGCAAGUGCAAAUGUUUGCUGAUUAUGAUGUUUGAAUGUUGCCUGGCUCUACCAUUUGUUUAAUUAAAUAGUCUACCAUCAUGUUGUUAAAAAUUGUUGUUUAUGUGACCUAUAACAAUAUUUUUGCAAGUUUUAUCCAUCAUUUCAUUAACCGACAUAUUGGAGGGUAAUACUCUAACCAGUAACAAGCGAGAUUAGUUUUACUGAUCCCACUGUCAUGGAAAUAGAAUUGCCAUUAUUUAUGUCUUGCUCUUCCAUUAAACUAUACAUACAAACUUUCACUGCCGCUUUCUAACUUAUGAUGAUUUUAUAUAUAUUGAACUUUCACCCUCAUUUUCUAUUGACCUCAGCCUAAAGAGGAGAAGAUCUAAUGGUGGCAAAUAUAACUUUCUGGAGCGUCUUUCAGGGGUUGCACACCUGUUGUCUCAGGUAUCAUUGUUUCUUUUGUUCAUACUUCUUGUUGUUCAACCACUCAUCCAAGUCUGUAAAGUAACUCAUGAUAAUGAAUCGCCAGUCUCAGUUUACCAUGUUAGCGAAAUCUCCUGCUAGCAUUUACUGGCAAUACGCCCUAGUUUUCAUUUAUAAAAAGGGUAGUCCGGUGCAUGAAGCAUUAUACAUUCACGUUGGAACUUGGAAAGGGUCGUACUCGCACCCCUUAAUGUAGGCAGUCUAUCCGGAUGCAAGCUUUAGUGGUUGAUUCCAGGGCUCGAACCUUGUCACAUGGAGAAAACUUAUCAUUGCUCCAAGGAACGUUUACCAGUAGAAAAUAUAGAUGACUUCUAUUUAGAGUACCUAAGGUAUUGAAUAGAGACGAGUCUUAAUGGAAUAAUAGGAUUCAUGUAGCUGACUCUAAUUCACCUAGGAUUGAAUCGAUUGAGGCAUAGUUAUUAUUAUUCCAUAUAACUACAGGAAUGGUGAUUUCUCUCUCUCUCUAUUGAAUCAAGUGUCUUAACAUACGGGGCUUAAUAAGAAUCAUAUUACAACAAGGAAAACUUGAAGUCAUCAUUUUAUGAAGUAGUAAUUCCUAAUUCACUUGUUCUUUCUUGCAGAUGGUUGAGCCAAUGUUAAGGGCCGCUGCGUAUCCUUCUUGCUUUUUUUUUUAUUGCAUAUUAAUACUUCCUUUUAUAUGUUGAUUAUGGGAUAAGAUUCACUUAUGGAAAUUGAUGGCCAUUAAUGCCAUUGGUGAUUUCCUUUUAGACUUUUAAAUCUUUAAGUAAUAGGAAGAGCAGAGCUUGAGUUGUUCAUUUUCUUUCAUAAUUCUUAGGGUGUGUAGGUGAUUGGAGUAAAAUCAGGGUGUUUUUGUAAACACCGUGAGUGCUUACUUAUGUGCAUAUAGCAAACCUUUUCUGUUCUUCAAAUUACUAGAUUUUUGCACAGCUAAUUCUCUGUAAACAUAUCGGUUUGAUAAAUUGGUGUAGUUGGAUAUUUAUUGUACCUCCUUUCUUCCUUUUUAUUUUCCAUUUCUUCAUAAUUUCAUAUGUAUAGUCUUUGUCUCAUUUGUAGGUUGACUUUGUUUUUCACCUUGUGCGGAUUGCUUUUCAUUUCAAAGUAGACACUCAAUCAUUGUGCCUGUUUAAUGCAAAUUCCAAUGUGGAUUGUUAGCCAUGUAUGAUUGUUUUUUACCCUUAACAGUAGACAGGGAGAUAUCAACACUUCUUGCACGAUCAUUUUUUAUGGGAUUUUCACUGACAGUAUUGUCCUUGCUUGCCCGAAUUAGAGUUCUAGUUCAGCAAGUAAGCAUUCUCAGGAUAAUUUUAUCAUUUUCUGAAGUGUGAAAUGUUAUGUGAACUCAUGAAGAAUGGCACCAUUUUAAAGCUCAUUCCUUAGUCAUACUUAUAAUAAUAAAGGUCUUGCACAUGGAUUGUGUUCUUUUGAAAUUUGAGUUUGUUGAAGUUCUAGUUUCCAGUAGAAUACACUGGAGUCAUGGUAAUUUCUGGAGCUUAUUAUAUAGAGAAACUAAUCUAAUUCAAGAGGGGAAUGGGUCAUGUAUGACCUGAGAAUUUUGCUCUUUUAGAGCAUGCAAUAUUUAAGGAAUUGAAAAGCUUAUGUCGAGCAAAUUUCCUUAGGAUUUCUGGUAAUUGAAUAGGAAAUUCUAAGCAAAUUUUCUUUGUUCAUUGCAGAUGCUUCUUGAUGUUGUUUGUGUAUUCAACAAUGUCUCCUCUUUAUCUCAGAGGGAACAAGCCAUAAAAUUGACUCAAGAUGGAUUUGAGGUUUUUUCUUUGCUACUGACUGCUCUCUGUUUUUCUGAUGCAAUGCAGUAAAUUAUUUCCUUCCUUAUACUCCCUUUGUUUACUUGCUUUUUUGAUUGGUUAAAUUUGUUCUGUUAAUGUCAAGAAAUGGUUGGAAAAUUUAUGAGAAUUAUUCUUCUCACAAGUCCAAUGAUGAGAUAGGAAAAUUGAUAGUACUUCCUUGAUAGUUGUUAAUAACAACUCUAAGAUGAAAUCAAAGAAGCAAAUGCUCAAUAAUUUGUGCAUUGCAGGUUUUUAGAGAAUACUUUCCGCCAAAGCAGCAGGUGAUCUUCCUCGAAUGUAUAUGGGAAUCUGAUAAGUAUAUUUUAGUUGAGAGACAAAAUCAGAAAGAUGUCGGAAGCCAGGAAAAGGAGGUUGGAGAAGAUGUUUCUGUAGAAGCAUCUAAGGUUCAGUAUGAAAGCAUUGAGCUUUUCCUAGGAGGUAACCAUGUACCACAAUUUCUUUUUUACUGUCUUGUUUUCUUUAUCAAGUCAUUCUAUCAGUCUGAGAUAGAAGUGAACUCAAGGUUGCACGUGAUGAUUCCAUUGGACAUAGUAAUAUCCAGAGUUUUUCUGUUUGCCAGUUUUUAUCAUUAAAAAAGACAGCCCAAUGCACGAAACAUCCGGUGUUCACAUAGGACUUGGGGAAGGGCCAUAUACCCAGGGGAUGUAGUGUAGGCAGCGUACCUGACACCAGUUUUAGUCAUUCAGUUUGACAAUAAAGUUCAUGGAAGAAGUGUCUGUUGCAUAUCUUUCUAGUGUAUUCAUAUAUCUAGUGCUUCUUACUCCCUACGAUGAAGUUCUUCAUUUGUUGCUGAAAUCCAGUGUUAUUCGUCUAUAAUUUGGUACGUAACUUUUUCUGGGGUCUUGUGUAGAUGACAAACCUGGACAGACGGCCUCUAAAGAUUCGGCUGAGGAUGGUCAAACUAUAAAGGACAACGAUAUAGUAGAUUCCUUGGAGGAUCCUAUCCAAGAUAGUAAUGAUGAAUCUCGAGCUCAAGUUGAUUCAACUAUUGCAGGACCUUCAGGCAAUAAUUUUGAUACUCCUGAAGCCGGAGCACUUCCAAGUACAUCACCCGACAAGAAUCCUGCCAAAGCCAAACACGGAUCAAGAAAUAGUGUUGCAUUUGUUUCAGUGAAAAGACCCAAAGUGUCAACAAACAAUGAGUUGGGGUUUGAUAUUCAUAGAACAGAAAAGGGUGAUAAUUCUGGUGUAGAUAAAGAAGAUCCAUUUUUCAGUUUACUUUUUAGUGGAAAUGUGAAGACCAGUCUAUUCUGAACUUCACCUAAAUAGUUUUUCAUUUCUCCUUGUUUUUCUCUGUUAACUAUGCCGCGGCGCAUCUUUGCGUCCAUAUUUGUGAGUUGAUGCUCAAUAAUGUCCAAAUUUGGACAAUUUAUCCAAAUUGGUUUUAAAUUUUUAGAGUUGAUGCUCGAUCAUGUCCUUUUUUGAGGGUAGGAAGAAAUUUGGAGCAUCUGUGGGAGCUGAAAAUGAAAUGGAGUUUGUUUCUCUUAACACAGUGAAGAACUCAACUGUUAACAGUAUUAACACUUUCCAGAGAGCUUACAAGCCAGCAAACAGGUAUUAAUUUAAUGAACACUAAUAUCAUGUACCAAAUAAGGCAUCUACUAAGUAAACAAAAAUACAGAAGAAAAUCCUUCAUCAAAUAAAUGUUAAUGAUUCCAACAUGCUAUUUGAAUUUCAUAAAGUAAAACACUUGUAUCAAACUGAGGUGAACUAAGCUAGACCCAAGAUGCUGCUGAAGCCUUCUCAUUCUUGUCUUUGUUUUACACACAAAUCAAAAUGCCAAAAUUCUAACCAAUGCCUCGGAUUUAUGGGUUGCUGUAUUGUAUGACUCUCCUCCAUCCAGCUGUUGAUUCUGUUCCAAUAGUGUCUCUGAAAAUUGCGACAUGGUAUGAAUUUUCAAUUUUACUCUGUUAUGUAAGAAACAACUACAGUGAUGUCGUCCAGCUUCCCACCAUGGUAAUCAAAUCCAGACUCACGAGCUCCAUCAGAGAAAGGCGAAGACUUAGUAUGAUCCAUUGCUCUUAGCUGUGCCAGUUCUGCUAUCCGCUGAGCAGUCAUCUGAGGCCCUAAGCCAGCUUCCAUGGCCUGAAAUACAACUCCACUGAUAUCUUCGUCAUACAAAUUAUCAAAAAGCCCAUCUGUACCAACAAUUAGGACAUCUCCAGGUACAACAGUAAUGUUGAACACCAUGGCAGAGCUAGGUGAAUCACCCGCGUUAUUGCAAUCUAGUUGAUAUGGGAAAUUAAACCCAUGCUGUUGUGAAGGGGAUUUAAAUGCAGCACAUCCAUUUCUAACCAACAUAAAUCCGCUAUCUCCUAAAUUAACUGCAUAAAGACCUCCUUCAGUGAGUGCAACGAUACACGCUGUAGAAGAGCCUUUUGCUUUUGUUCUCACGUAAGCUUUCUCCAGCACCCUGAUUAGGUCUACAGAACCUUUUGGCUCAUCUUGAAUUGCAGAUAAAGAGUGAGACAUCAAUUCACGGGCAUAUAGUCCAGCAUCAAUACCAAGAUCAGCCCAUCCACCAACACCAUCAGCUACACCAAUUGCUGGUGUAAGGGUACAAAUAAAAUGAGCAUCCUCUCCACCAGUUUUUGCUUUAGCAGGAUGAGGUAGGUAAAAAGAUCCCGAGUUUAGCUGCAAGGAGAUCUUUGCUUCAGAAGAAUUAACAACAUCUACAACUUGUUCUGUGCCCUUGGAAUUAUCAGAAGACACAUUAGAAGCAGAGGCAGUUCCAGAAAAGAAACAUUCGUGGGAUAAAUUGCGAAAACCUUCCAAUCCAAAGCCUUUGUGUGGGUUGAGGUUAGUCCUCCUCUUUGCAACAUUAGUCGUGAAAUAUUGGUAAAGCAUGAAGUUAUUGGGCCGUCCUUUGUUUCCCAAACUGAUGUUAGCUUUACUAACAUUUUGAAAGCCUCUUUUGUUGUAAGAAACAGUACAACUCUUUACUGACAAACUACACUGCAGGCGCCUAGCAGUCAUAUUGCCAACGAAAUGGCCAAUAUGAGUCCUUGAACCACAAACAGCCAUUAUGCCUUUCUGAGUAUCAAUAACAAAAGUAGCUCGGGAAGCAGCAAACCUUCAAGUGCAGAGUUCUGCAAAACCACGGAAGGAAACAACAUGAGGUUACAUAAGUAGAUUGCAUUUUCUUCUUUUUAAUGGACAUAGUAGAUAAAGCAAUCUGACAAAGCAAGACACACAUAACACAAGCUCCUAUAUCUCCCCUUCAAUUAAUCUUAUAAACAAAAAUUUAUACUGAGGAGAUUGUGUUAUCAUGUGCAGGCUAGAAAGUGCAAGUUGUAAAGCUUGGCAAAUAAAACCUAUUAACUUGGAAACAAAAACGUCACACGAAACACGAAUAUCAAGAAAAUUGACUCAGUCAAAUUACGAACUAAAAGCACAUUCAUGAAUACAAAAUUCCGGGGAGCUCAUUAGCAGCCAAAAGUUGCAAAAGAACUUUCCAAAGUGGAACUAUUCCGACAAUAAGCUUAAAGGCAACAAGAAAACUGUCAACAGUCAACGAAAGAGUGUGACACAGUGAGGCAGCGACAGAUAAUCAAUCGUUAAGGGGCCUGAAGGAGAACUUAGAAUUUCAAUUGGUUUUUCUUCUCAAUCUCUAUGUGGAAUUCUUGAACAAAAAAUCAGAAGAAAAAAUUUACACCCUAUUUUUAUCACAAGUUAAUUUUGAGCUUUGUUAUCUGGGGUACGCCAAAAAUGAUGUAGUAACUCAACUACGCAUGCCUGUAGUGUAGUUGACCCCCCCCCCGCACACACACACGCCAAUAACUUAAUACUAUCAACUAUGCCUGAAUCCCAAAUUAGUUGACCACAAAACAAAAGUGGGUUUUGAGAAUAUCACCCUUAUUCUUUUCCAAUAAACGUGGUACCUAGGCCAGCUUGCGCAUAACUCAACUAACUCCAAACCAGUAAAAGUAUCAUGUGACUCUGGCAUAAAUUGAUUGGUUCCACUCUGGAGUUUAAGGAACUUUUCAUACUUGUUUAUUUUCAAAAUUACAACUUCAAACAGUUAAGAGUGGUUAGAGUCUCUCACUGGUUGGGGAACAAACGGGUAAUGAACCAGGGGUCUGUUUAUAUGGAUUUGGGAGAUCCUCCCUUCAUUAGCUAGCUUUAGGGGUUGAGUUAGGCCUACCUGUCAUAUCCAUCUUUGUUUAGGCUCUCAGUCCACGCUCCAGUUGGUCUGUUUAACACUUCCACAGAUGUGAAAAAAUUACCUAAUAUUUUUUACUCCGCUACGAUUUGAACAUCAGACCUCAUGAUUCCUGACCCAUUCAUUGACCGCUAGACCACACCCUCCGAUUAAAUGUCACCCUUAUUCUUGUCAAAUCAGCACAGUAUAUAAUUAACAGAUAAGAGCACACUAGAAGGAAACAAAAAAUGCUGAAAGAAAUUCAAGAAAAGACCUUCUGAGUAAUACAAUGAGGGAAUUGGGAUUUGAGGUUAGUCCUCCUCUUUGCAACAUUAGUCGUGAAAUAUUGGUAAAGCAUGAAGUUAUUGGGCCGUCCUUUGUUUCCCAAACUGAUGUUAGCUUUACUAACAUUUUGAAAGCCUCUUUUGUUGUAAGAAACAGUACAACUCUUUACUGACAAACUACACUGCAGGCGCCUAGCAGUCAUAUUGCCAACGAAAUGGCCAAUAUGAGUCCUUGAACCACAAACAGCCAUUAUGCCUUUCUGAGUAUCAAUAACAAAAGUAGCUCGGGAAGCAGCAAACCUUCAAGUGCAGAGUUCUGCAAAACCACGGAAGGAAACAACAUGAGGUUACAUAAGUAGAUUGCAUUUUCUUCUUUUUAAUGGACAUAGUAGAUAAAGCAAAGUGACAAACCAAGACACACAUAACACAAGCUC